GGUGCGCAGGCGCAGUCUGCGCAGGGACUGGCGGGACUGCGCGGCGGCGACUACAGACGUGUCGGGGGUCCGGGGCCUGUCGCGGUUGCCAAGCGCUCGGCGCUUGGCGCUGGCGCUGGCCAAGGCGUGGCCAACAGUGUUGCAAACAGGAACCCGAGGUGUUCACUUCACUGUUGAAGGAACGAGAGGGCAUCUGCUAAAGUUUCAGAUUCCAUUUCUGCUCAGUAUCCAGUAGUGGAUCAUGAAUUUGAUGCAGUGGUGGUAGGCGCUGGAGGGGCAGGCUUUGCGAGCUGCAUUUGGCCUUUCCGAGGCAGAGUUUGAUACAGCAUGUGUUACCAAGCUGUUUCCUACCAGGUCACACACUGUUGCAGCGCAGGUUGGAAUCAAUGCUGCUCUGGGGAACAUGGAGGAGGACAACUGGAGGUGGCAUUUCUAUGACACCGUGAAGGGCUCCGACUGGCUGGGGGACCAGGAUGCCAUCCACUACGUGACGGAGCAGGCCCCCACUGCCAUGGUCGAGGUAGAAAAUUAUGGCAUGCCGUUUAGCAGAACUGAAGAUGGGAAGAUUUAUCAGCGUGCAUUUGGCGGACACAGCCUCAAGUUUGGAAAGGGCAGGCAGGCCCAUCGGUGCUGCUGUGUGGCUGAUCGGACCGGCCACUCAAUAUUGCACACCUUAUAUGGGAGGUCUCUGCGAUAUGAUACCAGCUGUUUUGUGGAGUAUUUUGCCUUGGAUCUCCUGAUGGAGAAUGGGGAGUGCCGUGGUGUCUUCGCACUGUGCAUACAGGACGGGUCCAUCCAUCGCAUAAGAGCAAAGAAUACUAUUGUUGCCACAGGGCUACGGGCGCACCUACUUGAGCUGCACGUCUGCCCACACCAGCACCAGCGACGGCACGGCCAUGAUCACCAGGGCAGGCCUUCCUUGCCAGGACCUCGAGUUUGUUCAGUUCCACCCCACAGGCACAUAUGGUGCUGGUUGUCUCAUUACGGAAGGAUGUCGUGGAGAGGGAGGCAUUCUCAUUAACAGUCAAGGCGAAAGGUUUAUGGAGCGAUACGCCCCCAUCGCGAAGGACCUGGCGUCUAGAGAUGUGGUGUCUCGGUGGAUGACUCUGGAGAUCCGCGAAGGAAGAGGCUGUGGCCCUGAGAAAGAUCACGUCUACCUGCAGCUGCACCACCUACCUCCAGAGCAGCUGGCCAUGCCCUUGCCCGGCAUUUCAGAGACAGCCAUGAUCUUCGCUGGUGUGGACGUCACGAAGGAGCCGAUCCCUGUCCUCCCCACCGUGCAUUAUAACAUGGACGGCAUUCCCACCAGCUACGAGGGGCAGGUCCUGAGGCACGGGAAUGGCCAGGAUCAGAUUGUGCCCAGCCUGUACGCCUGUGGGGAGGCCGCCUGUGCCUCUGCACAUGGUGUCAACCGCCUCGGGGCAAACUCGCUGUUGGACCUGGUUGUCUGGUCAGGCAUGUGCCCUGAGCAUCGCAGAGUCGUGCAGGCCUGGAGAUAAAGUCCCUCCAAUUAAACCAAAUGCUGGGGAAGAAUCUGUCACGAAUCUUGACAAAUUGAGAUUUGCUGAUGGAAGAAGCAUAAGAACAUCGGAACUGCGACUCAGCAUGCAGAAGUCAACGCAAAAUCAUGCUGCCGUGUUCCGUGUGGGAAGCUUGUUGCAAGAAGGUUGUGGGAAAAUCAGCAAGCUCUAUGGAGACCUGAAGCAUCUGAAGACGUUUGACCGGGGAAUGGUCUGGAACACGGACCUGGUGGAGACCCUGGAGCUGCAGAACCUGAUGCUAUGUGCGCUGCAGACCGUCAAUGGAGCAGAGGCGGGGAAGGAGUCACGGGGCGCGCACGCCGGGGAAGACUACAAGGUGCAGAUUGAUGAGUAUGAUCACUCCAAGCCCAUCCAGGGGCAACAGAAGAAGCCCUUUGAGGUGCACUGGAGGAAGCACACCCUGUCCUAUGUGGACGUCGGCACUGGGAAGUGCACAGCCAGAGGACAACACAUCACACACAAGAAACAGUUGUGCUCAUGUGAUGGGGGCCUCAGCACUAGGAAGGAGUGGACUGUUGGCGCACGCAGCAGCUUGAAUAAAUCUGAAAGUCACUACGCUGCGUAAGAGAAGCCAAAUAAAGCGCAUGCUGUGUACAGAGGGUGUCGAGAAUGCCUCCUACGUGACGGAAAGCAGAUCCGUGGUUCCCUGCAGACUGGCAGGAGCAGAUUCCAAAGGCACAGGAAGAAGCUUGCAGGUAGAAUGUGUUCAUUACCUUCUGCGCAUUAUACCACAAAAAAGCUGGGAAUAAAAAUGCUAACCAAAAAAAAA